GUUGUUAAGUAAGUGGAAAUUGGAAUGUCAAAUGAGUCAAAGGGUACCUUCCCUCGAGAAAGUAAACAGCUAACAAAAUGAGUCAAAAUAUGCUUUAUUUUGUAAGGAGUUCCCUCCUUCUUUUUACCAGUCUCUUUAGCCAUUGCCAUUAUUAUUAUUAUUAUUAUUAUCUUUCUCCUGUCUUCCACCACCACCCUUGAACUAAUAAUCAUCCUAAAUAAAAACUAGUUCCCCCCAGAAUUGUUCUUCUGCAAAGCACACUCCAUGGCAAAACAAGUGUGCUGAAAGGGAAGAGAGAAAUGUUUGCAUGCCUCUGUCAGUCCAGGGUCCCAGGUAUCAAGAAAGGUAACCCUUUGAGGAGGAGGGCCAGAAAAGGACACUGUUAGAUGUGUUGAUGAUCCUCAGAAUGUACCAUUACAUUCUGGAGGAGGGUAUGGCUUCCAAAAUUUUAGGCUGAACAAAAUUGCAAUCUUUCUCAAACCAAGCAGAAAAGAACUAACAGGCUAGAUUGCCAUGGGUGGGGAGAAAGGGUUCAGAAAUGGGAAAGGGCUUGUAAAUGUCUUGUAUUUCAGAUGAAUUAGAGAUUCAGAUUAGGAGGGCUCUUUUGCAGAGUGGCGGUUGUGAGGGGUUGACACUUGGAUUGAGCGACGGAGACUCCAUUCCGAGUGUUUUCAUAAGGAAGCUCCUUUCCUGAAAAAGAAAAGGAAAACAUAUAAAAGAAUGCCAAAGAAAGAAGAAAAUAUGGUUGAUGCUGCAAGAAUGGUAGAUGUAUGCUUUGUGUUCUAUUGAUACAUUAGAUGAUAAAUGAAGAUGGUGAUAACAACUAACAUCUUACACUAUAAAUCUUGUCACAUAAUUAUUUCUUGUUGGGUAAGAGGUUUCUUGCUUCAAUAGUUUUCAGCACAAAGAUACAAUAUUUAUAUGCUUAACCUAUAUGUUUUUGUUUUGUCAACAUUUUAUCAGUAUAUUUCUUACAAAGGAAAACAAAUAAAUA